CAAAAUUCUGUAAGAUCAUGUAAAGCAUAUAUAUAUAUAUACAUAUAUAUAUAUAUAUAUAUAUAUAUACAUAUAUAUAUAUAUUUCUUUUUUUUGUACAAUUCUUGGCAUUAGCCUUCCUGCUUCUCUUCACACACAUCUUUUAAGAAAGGAAGAUGCUAAAGAUCUAGAUCAUUCUACGAUUUUGCAAUAUAUGUCAUAUAAUAUACAUUUAUCUUGUAUAUCAGUGAUCUCAUGGUUGUGAGAGACAAAUCCAUGGCGGAAUGAAAACUAUCAGGACUCUAAAUGUUCAAGGUAUGUAUUUUAUUCCCUACCCUGAGCAUUUGGGAGUUGAAGGAGGAAAGAGUCAAAAAUUAAAUUUGCUCCACACUCCAGUGUUAUUUUUCUUUAUGUUAAUCUUACCAGGCUAUUGUAAGACUCUGACAGUUGAAAUGGCUCAUUUUUUCCCUCCUAUAACUUUAAUGUAGCUUAAUGUGGCAUUUUCAGUUUUGCUAAGAGAAAGGGCAAAUUCACUUCCAACCCUUGUUUUAGAGUAUGCUUUGGGCCAUGAGCUCCAAAGGAAAGCAGAGAGCAUGCUGGAUUCUGAGGGUGAUACCAUUUGAUCCGUGAGUACGCCUGCAGUCACCUGAAGUCCCCUUGGGACUUAUAUGAUGGACAUUUCACUUGCACAGUUGGGCCACAGGUCAAAAACGUAGCAAUACUUGGGGGAAGGACCACACAAAUCAUGCUGCAAGUACUUUCCCUCUUCUUCCCUAAACCCAGGGGACAUGAAUUUCCGUGGAUUGCAGACAAUUUUUAAAUUGUCUUUUCCCUCUCUUACUUUAUCGUGGAAGUUUGUUUUAACCUUUCCUGAUAUCCUGUUAUAUACUGUCUUUAUGAACUCAGUCCAAAUGCAUACAAAGAGAAAUGUUUUUAUGAAGUGCUCACUCCCCUUUUACUUUGCAUUUAAAUCAAAUUGGCUGACCACUUCAAUGGAAUGAAUUCUGUGGACAAUGUCACUUUAGAAUCUUUCAUUUCGAUGAAGGAUUGCACAUUCUCAAUGCUUCCAUAAUUGCAGGUUGUGUUCAUUUUUUAUAUAGUUUUUGUAAUCCAAAGAAUAUUUUGCUAGAUUUGCACAGAUCUCCAAUUGAAUUUGAAAUGAAGAAAUAACUCAAAAGGAAUAUGGAUAGCACUUAAACACGUUUACAGCUGUAAGUAACAAAUAACCCCAUCACCGUGGACGAUCUUUUUUUUUUUUCCUUCUAGGAAUGUAUUUGAAAUAGAGUUGACAAUGACAUUUUCACAUUUUUAUGUCAAAGUUUUUUUUUAAAGGUUGUCUACUUUUCAGGAGUUAAAAAUACUUGUUUUUCUUUUUUAAAAAAUCUUUUCCAUUUUUUUACUUUAAGAUUCUAUUGUUUGUAGAACC
rnacentral:lncRNA from 1 species